rnacentral:tRNA from 1 species
ACUAUUUUGGCAGAUAAAGUGCAAUAGAUUUAGAAUCUAUAAAUAUAGAUUUUUCUAUAAUUAGUA